CUACGGGGGGCAGCAGUCGCGGAACUUUUACAAUGCACGCAAGUGUGAUAAAGCAAGCCAAAGUGUUUUUCGUAUAGAAAAACUUUUUCUUAGUGUAAAAACCUAGGAGAAUAAGGACUGGGAAAGACUGGUGCCAGCCGCCGCGGUAAUACCAGCAGUUCAAGUUGCAUCCCUUUUUAUUGGGUCUAAAACAUCCGUAGCUUGCCGUUUAAGUCUCUUGUGAAAUCCUACGUCUCAAGCGUGGGGCUUGCAGGAGAUACUGGACGGCUAGAGAUCGGUAGACGUAAGGAGUACGCCGGGGGUAAUGGUAAAAUAUGUUAAUCCUCGGUGGACUAACAAUCAGCGAAGGCACCUUACGAGGACGAAUCUGACAGUGAGGGAUGAAGGCCAGGGGCGCAAAACGGAUUAGAUACCCCUGUAGUC
rnacentral:rRNA from 1 species